rnacentral:hammerhead_ribozyme from 1 species
GCAUUGCUGACGAGUCCAACAAUAGAACGAAACGACUGUACAAUGC